UCUUGCUUCGCUUUGCUGACCUUACCUUACCUUACCUUACCUUACCUUACCUUACCUUACCUUACCUUACCUUACCUUAGGUUAGGUUAGGUUAUGGUUUGGUUAGGUUAGGUUAGGUUAAGUUAGGUUAGGUUAGGUUAUGGUUUGGUUAGGUUAGGUUAGGUUAGGUUAUGGUUAGUUUAGGUUAGGUUAGGUUAGGUUAUGGUUUGGUUAGGUUAGGUUAUGGUUAGUUUAGGUUAGGUUAGGUUAGGUUAGGUUAGGUUAUGGUUUGGUUAGGUUAUGGUUUGGUUUGGUUAGGUUAGGUUAUGGUUUGGUUAGGUUAAGUUAAAAGUUUGGUUUGGUUAGGUUAGGUUUGGUUUUGUUUGGUUAUGUUAGGUUAGUUUAGCUUGUGUUGUGUUGUGUUGUGUUGUGUUAAGCCGUGAGGUUGUUGUGCACCGUGGACAGGUGGACGGGUGCAGCAGUGAGCACACUGGUGUGUGGGGCUUGGCACACCAGUGGUGCGCUGGUCAGUAAACACAGCUGUAGAUUUAAAGUCAUUUUUCUCCUUUGCAAUUACUGAGUGCACCUUUUGUUGACUUUUGAACAUUAGCAAGGGACAGGAACAUGUGCAACACCAAACACACCACCAUGCAUUGACCCUUUCCUCUGAGGCAAGGUGUUCACACUCCACCACUGAACACUCACCCUUUUUAUGGUGUGAACAACUAAGACACGGUAACACAAACACAGACAAACAAACAAACAAACAAUGUGCAGUGCAGAACUGGAGUUUGCAACAACUUGUAUUUGUAGGUGAAGAAAAUGAGUGCGAUCAGCGUGAGCGGUUUGGUGAGUGGCACGCAGCGCGUUCCAGCACGGAAGCCUUCUCUGUUCUCAAUGCUAAAAUUAACGUGCUGCCCAAACAAACACAGCUGUCGUUGGCUUGUCACAAAUGUGCAUGUCACACACAAAUGGUUUGAAUAAUACUGAAGUAAACACACCUUCUACAAACAACACUGCUCACUACACUGACAUGCUGCACUCACACACACACACACACACACACACACACACACACACACACACACACACACACACACACACACACACACACA